rnacentral:rRNA from 1 species
AUUGAACGCUGGCGGCGUGCUUAACACAUGCAAGUCGAGCGGCAGCGCGGUAGCAAUACUGGCGGCGAGCGGCGGACGGGUGAGUAACGCUUGGGAAUCUGCCUUUUAGUGGGGGACAACCCGGGGAAACUCGGGCUAAUACCGCAUACGCUCUACGGAGGAAAGCCGGGGACCGCAAGGCCUGGCGCUAAAAGAUGAGCCCAAGUCGGAUUAGCUAGUUGGUAGGGUAACGGCCUACCAAGGCGACAAUCCGUAGCUGGUCUGAGAGGACGACCAGCCACACCGGAACUGAGACACGGUCCGGACUCCUACGGGAGGCAGCAGUGGGGAAUAUUGGACAAUGGGGGCAACCCUGAUCCAGCGACGCCGCGUGGGUGAAGAAGGCCUGCGGGUUGUAAAGCCCUUUCGGUGGGGAAGAAAAGUUGCGACCUAACACGUCGCGACCUUGACGUAACCCAUUAAAGAAGCACCGGCUAACUCUGUGCCAGCAGCCGCCGU